AUGACAAACUUAGAGAACAAAGUCCUCUAUCCACAGACAUAGAACAGAUACAGUAAAGGCAGCCACAGUGCAAGUUUACCCAUAUGUCCUACCACCAUGUCUCAACACUGACCUGGAGAGACCACCUCUAUGAAAGUGAGGGUAUUCCAGUUUUCAUGCCAAUUCAUUUGUGGCCUCU
rnacentral:sRNA from 1 species